AUUGAACGCUGGCGGCAGGCCUAACACAUGCAAGUCGAGCGAGCGGCGGACGGGUGAGUAAUGUCUGGGGCUCUGCCUUGUGGCGGGGGAUAACUACUGGAACCGGUAGCUAAUACCGCAUACCCUCCGCUUCACCCAUAUGGGAUUAGCUAGUGGGGGGGGGACCGGCUUACCUAGGCGACGAUCCCUAGCUGGUAUGAGAGGAGGAUCAGCCACACUGGGACUGAGACACGGCCCAGACUCCUACGGGAGGCAGCAGUGGGGAAUAGUGCACAAUGGGCGCAAGCCUGAUGCAGCCAUGCCGCGUGUAUGAAGAAGGCCUUCGGGUUGUAAAGUACUUUCAGUCGGGAGGCGUUACCGGCAGAAGAAGCACCGGCUAACUCCGUGCCAGCAGCCGCGGUAAUAC
rnacentral:rRNA from 1 species